rnacentral:rRNA from 1 species
UCUAUAUAUUAUAGAAGUUAUAAUGCUAGAACUAGUAACAAGAACCUGCCUUUCUCCUAAAUGUAUGUAUAAGCCAGAAUGGACCUCCCACUGACAUUUAACGUAUAUGAAAAUACUAUAAUAACGUCCCCAAGAAAACCUUAUUAAUUAUUAACGUUAACCUUACACUAGAACAUUCCAGGAAAGAUUAAAAAAGAGAGAAGGAACUCGGCAAAUCUUAGCCCCGCCUGUUUACCAAAAACAUCGCCUCUUGCCAAAAUUAUAAGAGGUCCAGCCUGCCCGGUGACAAAGUUUAACGGCCGCGGUACCCUAACCGUGCAAAGGUAGCAUAAUCACUUGUUCCUUAAAUAGGGACUAGUAUCAACGGCACCACGAGGGCCAUACUGUCUCCUCUCCUCAAUCAGUGAAACUGAUCUCCCCGUGAAGAAGCGGGGAUUAAACUAUAAGACGAGAAGACCCCAUGGAGCUUUAAGCAACAUCUUCAUCUCUUGUUUUUUUUCAUCAACCUAAUAUAAAAUGAAUUGAAUUCUAGCUUUAGAUUGGGGAGAUCGCGGAGUACAAAUCAACCUCCACGACAAACGGACAGUGUCCUUAUCCAUGAACCACAUUUCUAAGAAUUAGCACACUAAUGUUUUUGACCCAUAUAUAUAUAUAUGAUCAACGAACCAAGUUACCCUGGGGAUAACAGCGCAAUCUACUUUAAGAGUCCAUAUCGACAAGUAGGUUUACGACCUCGAUGUUGG